CGUGUAGAUCUGCUGUAGGUCAAACACAUGCAGUCGAGCGAGAAGGAACUUUCGGGUUCUGGAGAGCGGCGGACGGGUUAGUAACGCGUGGGAACGUGCCUUAAGGUCUGGGAUAACUAUUGGAAACGAUAGCUAAUACCGGAUGGUCCCUUCGAGGUAAAGCUUUAGCGCCUUAAGAUCGGCCCGCGUUAGAUUAGCUAGUUGGUGAGGUAACGGCUCACCAAGGCGACGAUCUAUAGCUGGUUUGAGAGGAUGAUCAGCAACACUGGAACUGAGACACGGUCCAGACUCCUACGGGAGGCAGCAGUGGGGAAUAUUGCGCAAUGGAGGAAACUCUGACGCAGCCAUGCCGCGUGAGUGAAGAAGGCCUUCGGGUUGUAAAACUCUUUCAACGGUGAAGAUGAUGACGGUAACCGUAGAAGAAGCACCGGCUAACUUCGUGCCAGCAGCCGCGGUAAUACGAAGGGUGCUAGCGUUGUUCGGAAUUACUGGGCGUAAAGGGCGUGUAGGCGGACAUAUCAGUCAGGGGUGAAAUCCCGGGGCUCAACCCCGGAACUGCCUUUGAUACUGUAUGUCUAGAAUCUGUGAGGGGAUAGUGGAAUAUCAAGUGUAGAGGUGAAAUUCGUAGAUAUUUGAUGGAACACCAGUGGCGAAGGCGACUAUCUGGCACAGUAUUGACGCUGAGGCGCGAAAGCGUGGGGAGCAAACAGGAUUAGAUACCCUGGUAGUCCACGCCGUAAACGAUGUGAACUAGUCGUCGGGAAUUUGUUCUCGGUGACGCAGCUAACGCAUUAAGUUCACCGCCUGGGGAGUACGGUCGCAAGAUUAAAACUCAAAUGAAUUGACGG
rnacentral:rRNA from 1 species